UACAGAGGGUGCGAGCGUUAAUCGGAAUUACUGGGCGUAAAGCGCGCGUAGGCGGCUUUGCAAGUCGGGUGUGAAAUCCCGAGGCUCAACCUCGGGUCUGCAGUCGAUACGAGCAAACUAGAGUGUUGCAGGGGAGACUGGAAUUCCCAGUGUAGUGGUGAAAUACGUAGAGAUUGGGAAGAACACCAGUGGCGAAAGGCGGCUAUCUGGACGGUUUCUGACGCUAAGACGCGAAAGCGUGGGGAGCAACAGG
rnacentral:rRNA from 1 species